rnacentral:rRNA from 1 species
CCCUUAGAUGUUCUGGGCCGCACGCGCGUUACACUGAUGCAUUAAACGAGUCCUUCCUUGGCCGAGAGGCCUGGGCAAUCUUUUGAACGUGCAUCGUGAUAGGGAUAGAUUAUUGCAAUUAUUAAUCUUGAACGAGGAAUUCCUAGUAAACGCAGUUCAUCAAACUGCAUUGAUUACGUCCCUGCCCUUUGUACACACCGCCCGUCGCACCUACCGAUUGAAUGGUCCGGUGAAGCCUCGGGAUUGUGGCUGGUCUCCUUUAUUGGGGGUCGGUCGCGAGAACUUGUCUAAACCUUAUCAUUUAGAGGAAGGUGAAGUCGUAACA